rnacentral:rRNA from 1 species
AAGACCUUGCGCUUUUGGAGCGGCCGAUGCCUGAUUAGCUGGUUGGUGGGGUAAAAGCUUACCAAGGCAACGAUCAGUAGUUGGUCUGAGAGGACGGCCAGCCACACUGGGACUGAGACACGGCCCAGACUCCUACGGGAGGCAGCAGUGGGGAAUUUUGGACAAUGGGCACAAGCCUGAUCCAGCAAUGCCGCGUGAGUGAAGAAGGCCUUCGGGUUGUAAAGCUCUUUCAGUCGAGAAGAAAAGAUUGUGACGAAUAAUCACAAUUCAUGACGGUAUCGACAGAAGAAGCACCGGCUAACUACGUGCCAGCAGCCGCGGUAAUACGUAGGGUGCAAGCGUUAAUCGGAAUUACUGGGCGUAAAGGGUGCGCAGGCGGCUUUGUAAGUCAGAUGUGAAAUCCCCGGGCUUAACCUGGGAAUU